GAGUUCGAACCUGGAGUUCAGAGACUUGGCUCUAAGUGUGCUCCCGUCCCCACCUCCUGCCCCACUUCCUUGGCCACCUGACCCUCCCUCCCCGGUGUCCCAGGCCCCAUCUAGACUCCCCUUUGCCUUGGAGAUAGGCACAGCAACCUGGCCGUCUGUGUGGAGAGAAGCCCACACGCCGCGUCUGCGUGGCUCUUUGCUCCUGAGUGGCGUCGGUGUGGAAGCUUGGGAAGAGCGUUGUGGCCUGCAGCUUCUCAGGGUAGAGCAAGGUAUAAUGGGCUCUCUGUAUGCCUGCUGCAUCGACCUGCGGAAUUAGUGACUCUGUUGUGUAAACAGAUCGGGUCUUCUGAAAGCCUAGCACACCUGCAACUCUCCUGCGUCAUCGUCGUCCCCUACCCUCCUCUCAGUUCACCCAACAAAGCAGCCUGCUGCUUUUCAGACAAGCCCAUCAGACACCUGUAUCGUCAUUAUCAACACCAACACAAACUCAUCUUGCACUUUUUAUUAAUGUCGAACGUGCUAUAUCCUGGGUGUUUGGAAUAAUCUCAAAGAGAGCACCUGUUACUUAAGUGUUCUUUGCAACAUCUCGAGGGCAAUUUAUUCAUUACUAUAUUAAAGUGGGCUGUUUAAUAA